rnacentral:tRNA from 2 species
GGGCGCGUAGCAUAGCCCGGACGAUGCGCCGGCCUUCUAAGCCGGAGAACCGGGGUUCGAAUCCCCGCGCGCCCG